UCUAUCCACACACCCAGAUACAUUCACGCACACCCAUAGAUACUCAAAACACACUCAAACACACACAGAAUGAAGCUAAACACACACGCACACACAUACACACAGCCUUAAAUGCUCAAAACACACCCAUAUAGACCCCAAAACACUCGUGAACACACUCAAACACACACAGAACCAAGCUAAAUACACACACACACACACACAAUGAAGUGAAGUGUUACCAUAUUCCCAGGCAGUUUUUAGCAGCACAAGCGGCAAGACAAGAGUGAACCAGCAGUGCAAGGCAAGCCACCAUGACCUGCAGCCUUCACCACACCCCUCCUUCACUUACUCAAGGCUCAGACGUCAACACGGAAGCAACAGAAGGAAGAAGAAGGA